UCUUUUAAAAAUAAUUUUUUACU
rnacentral:snRNA from 1 species